rnacentral:rRNA from 1 species
CGGCCGCGGUAUUUUGACCGUGCAAAGGUAGCGCAAUCACUUGUCUUUUAAAUAGAGACCUGUAUGAAAGGCUAAACGAGGGCUUAACUGUCUCCCAUUUCAAGUCAGUGAAAUUGAUCUACCCGUGCAGAAGCGGGCAUUAACAUACAAGACGAGAAGACCCUUUGGAGCUUAAGGUAAAAAUUCAACCACGUCAAGCAACUUAAAACAAGUUUUUAAACUUUGUGGCACAUGAAACUAUACCUUCGGUUGGGGCGACCAUGGAGGAAAACAAAGCCUCCAAGUGGAAUGGGACAACCCCCCUAAGCUAAGAGAGACAUCUACAAGCCACAGAACAUCUGACCAUAAAUGAUCCGGCCAACAAGACCGAUCAACGAACUAAGUUACCCUAGGGAUAACAGCGCAAUCCUCUCCCAGAGUCCAUAUCGACGAGAGGGUUUACGACCUCGAUGUUGGAUCAGGACAUCCUAAUGGUGCAACCGCUAUUAAGGGUU